UCCCCACCUUUCCCAGCGGAUGACACUCGGAGGUUCCGGAAACGUCACAUCCGGCGCCCGUUCCGCCCACUCCCGCUCGUCUGUCUAUUACAUUCCCAAUGAUUUAGGACUUGGAAUGGAGAGCUAGUAGGUGGGGCUAGAAUCGGCACCUGCGGAAAAUCCGACCAAUGAGGAGCGAAUGACAGAGCGGCCAUCUUGGUAAAGGAAAAGGAACAAGGAAGAAGGUGGAACUAAAGACCAAGCUGAGACAGGGUCUUUCAGUGCCACCCAGGCUGGCACAGGAGUGCAGUGGCGUGAUCAUAGCCCACUGUGGUCUCCAACUUAUGGACUCAAGCGAUCUUCCUGCCUCCGCCUCACAAAGUACUAGGAUUACUGGCGUGUGCCACCGCACCCAAAUGAGACUAACGUUUUAAUGUCAAAAAACCUAUAAAAUAUUCGGAAAAAAAGAGUUUAAUCUCUAAGAGCCACUGUGCAAAAGCAGUGAAGACCCAAAGAUCUGUAUGACACUGUUCCUGCCCUGAGACCAGGACAAGGUGGUUUUAUGCAUCAAAUACAGAAUGGCACGUUCUGCACGUA